UGGCUCAGAACGAACGCUGGCGGCAUGCCUAACACAUGCAAGUCGAACGAACCCUUCGGGGUUAGUGGCGCACGGGUGCGUAACACGUGGGAAUCUGCCCUUUGCUUCGGAAUAACAGUUAGAAAUGACUGCUAAUACCGGAUGAUGUCGUAAGACCAAAGAUUUAUCGGCAAAGGAUGAGCCCGCGUAGGAUUAGGUAGUUGGUGGGGUAAAGGCCUACCAAGCCGACGAUCCUUAGCUGGUCUGAGAGGAUGAUCAGCCACACUGGGACUGAGACACGGCCCAGACUCCUACGGGAGGCAGCAGUGGGGAAUAUUGGACAAUGGGCGAAAGCCUGAUCCAGCAAUGCCGCGUGAGUGAUGAAGGCCUUCGGGUUGUAAAGCUCUUUACCAGGGAUGAUAAUGACAGUACCUGGAGAAUAAGCUCCGGCUAACUCCGUG
rnacentral:rRNA from 1 species